UUUCUUCUUCUCAACUUUUCUUCUUCCCCAUACAUCGAUUCCAUCAGUAUUCUCUGGUCAUCAUAUCAUCGUCUCCCGCCUCUCUUCCCCAUACACUUCUUAAAAUGUUUCAAGAGAAACCAGAGAAAUCAUUUGUUUCUUCUUCCCAUAUCAUUGCUUCUCUUCCACAUACAUUUCAAAUGUUUCAUAGUCCAUUAAACAAACAUUUCAACUAUUUAAUUGUUUUAAACAUCAAAUCUUCAUCUGUUUCUUGUUCUCCGAGUUCGAAGCUUUCAUCUUUGGUAAGUUCAUUUUAGUUUAAUGGUUGUUUUUUUGGUUAUAUUAGUCGUAUUUUGUUGUUUAUUUUGUUAUAGUAAUGUAAUAAACCCUUUUUUUUAUAUGAUUUUUCUGCAUGUUCUUGUUUUGGAUGCCGUAUUUGAUUUUUUUUAUUUUGUUAUAGUAGUGUAAUUAACUCUUUUUCUGGAUGAUUUUAUUUCAUGUUCUUGUUUAGAAUGCCGUGUUUAGUUUUUAAUUUUGUUAUAGUAGUUUAAUGAACCUCUGGAUGAUUUUUCUUCAUGUUGUUUAGGAUGAAUAUUUGUGGUCUCUAAUAAAUUUUUGUUUGAAUAUGAAUAUUUGAUCCUUUUUUGGGAUAAUUUGGUUACUUUUUUAAAAAGCUAAUUUCUGUUUAUCUCGCCUAUUGAUUUUGGAAUUUUGGCUUUUGUUGUGAAUUGUUGUUUUCUCCAUUAUAUCUGUUUACUUUUGCUGGUCUUAUUUUGCUCAUUACAUGUGUUUGUUACACAAAGUCCAAGUGUAGUAUUUUUUUCUUUCUCUCUUUGUUAGACUGUUAUUUACAUUAGUAUUGUAUGUUUACUCUGGUUAUGGCUAAAACUAGAUGUGACCUUGUUAAAAAAUCUAUUCCUAAGCCUUGUAAAAAAAAGAAAAAGAAGGGCUCAACUUCAAGUUUCAAGGUGUUCAAAAAAGAAAACAUUAAUUGUUGAAGAACCCAAGUAUGAUUCGAAUUGUGAUACGAUGGAUGAAAUAGACAACUAUGAGGAGAGUCUUGAUGAGGUUGAGUCUAGUGAAGAGAUCAGUGGAAACGAGUUUACAAAUGGAGAUAGCCGAAAUGCUGGAGAUGAGGAUGAUGAUCUUCUAUCCUUGCCAACUUGUGUAGCAGAAAUCUCAGGGAAGUCCUAUAAUCUUACACAUGCAUCAAUGAGUUAGGAUCUUUUUCAACAAAGAUUUCGAUGGCACACGGCAAAGAGCGAUAGCAUUGUCGAAGGUGGUCCAUUUAAGUACACAAAGGUUGUGCAUCCAUCCCUAGAACCUACUAUCCAUGAGAAGAUAUAGAAUUAUAUGGCAACAUUAAAGCCAUAUACAGACGAAGUGAAGGACAUAAUUAGUGAUACCUUAAAGGCCAGUUUGAAAGGUGUCAGUGCGCUCACUUCUGCAGUAGGUCAUGUGGAGGAUGAGUAUUCAAACAAACACAUUCCUAAUCAACCUGGGGAGAAUUCUAUAUUAAGUGCUUCUAAAGAUGGAAGUCUGGAUGAACGUGUUGCAUCCCUCAAGCAACCAAUGGUGAAAAUCGUUGCUUUUGUACGAGAGGAGAAGUUGAGAAGAAAUGAAAGAAAAAAAAAAGGAAAAGUAAAUAAAUUUAUAUACUUCUUAAUUAUGUAAUAUAAUGUAUUUGUAUUAAUUUUUAGCCGCUGAUCUUGCAAUAUAUGAUGACAACUUUUCAUCACCGACAGUGGAUGACAAUAUCCUUCCAUUAGCUGUAGUGGAUGAUGAUCUUGCUGCAUUUGAUGCAUACUUUGUUAAAGAAGUUGAUGAAGAGGAGAUGAGGGGACGAUGGAAGAGAACAAUGAAGAAAAUGAAGAAAAGAAACUAGAAGAAAAUGAAGCAAAUGGAGAAGAAUAGAAAGAACAACAAGAAGAGAAGAUAACAGAGAAUGCAGAAGAGGAAAAGCUUGAAGAAUAAGGGUUGGUCACUGAAGUGGAAAUAGAUAUGAUGGGUAUUGUGAUGGAGCUUAGUGGUCAGGUUGAUGGUGAUUAAGGGCAGUUGUGAUUUUUGGAAUGGUUAUUCCCUAGUAUUUUAAGACAAUUUGUGAAGUUAUCGAUAUUUUAAGACAAUUGAUUUUUGUGAUAGUUGGGUUGUUCCCUGGUUUGAAGACAUGUUUAUUGAUAUGAUUUUUUAAGACA